UUAUAAAUAGUUUUGUUGGUGGCAGCGUUAAAAUAGUAAUAUUUAUAUUAUUAUGGUUAAGUGUAGGUGGUGUUAAGGAGGAUUUUUAUCACUAUUUCCAGUCUAGCGAGACAAAUAGUGAACGUUAAGCCUUUCACUACCAGCACUAAGUUACACACAUCACUGGAGUAGGGUGCGUUCAUGACAGGCCUUACAAUGUAAGUUGUCAAACUAUUUUAG